UGUUAUAAUUUUUAAAUUGUCCUGUGCACUGAUCUCAUGAUCAUUAUUGGAUUUUUUUUUUAAACUUCAAACCAGGUUUCAAAAGAGUGAAAACUAGAGAAGUAAUAUAGAUAUUACUACUGGAAUAUAGAUGUUUGCUAUCCAGAGAAGUAAUGAUGCUACUAAGAGUUUUUUUUUUCUUUUUUUUUUAUAAUACUGCAUGUCAUAAGCAUCUGCUAUGUCCUAUGAAGGAAUUAUGUCAUUGCACGUGUUAGAGUUUGCUGGGUUUUAACAAGUAGAAGAAUCAAAAUGUUACAUAAAUUCAAUUGUAGUACUUGUUAUUUGCAUAGAAUGGUAAUUUUUGCCAUACUAUAAAAAAUACUGUUCUGAGAGUGUAUGACCUUUUUAGAAAGUUGGAAGGAGAGAACUGCAAUUGGAGUUUUGGUGUUUAAAUUCGAUUUAAAUAUGAAUUGCAAACUCCUCUCACUACUAAAAUCUAUCUAUUGGCUAUGUGCAACUUCUCUCUGAGACCAAUAGUCCAUCGCAAAAGAGUGAAAAGCUUUACCUUCUAACUGUUGGUUGUUAUAGAAGUGGUGAGCAUUCAAGAAGCCUGCAGCUUGUAUAGAAAUGUUUGGAGAUUAAACUUGAUUGGAGGUAGGCUUUGUACCUUGAGAAGGCAGUAAAAGAACAAAUUACAAAAGAUGGUGUCAUUGGAAUUGGCAUUUCAGUUACUGCUGUGGUACUUAUAGCUGGUGGAAUUAUAACUGCAUUAGCUAGCAGAAAAUCAUGACGACGGAUUGUUAUUUUAAGAGUAAUUUCCCUGAUUUGCGGUUCCCAAUCUUCGAAGAUGAUGCAUUUUAACCCUGCUAACUAUGAACUGAUGUCCUUUCUAUUACUUUUAGUUGAAGUUAAGACUUUGUAAAUAUAUAUUUCAAUAGAUUUCAUAUGGUA